GCUCAGUACCGUUGUUCUCCAACAACCACCUGCAUGUUCGCUCCAGUGUCCCCACACUGAUGACUCGAGAUUCGUCAUCCCAAAAGGAAAGCGGCACACACAUCAAUCUUACCGGAUCUAUCAUCGUCCCCAUGAUGAUCCUCCGAUUGAGAGCAUUUAUGAAUUAAUCACCAAUAAUAUGUAUCUCAAAUUCUCAACUCUUGAGAAUACAUAUUAUCAUCUUAUUAAUUCAAAGGACGAUUCAUGGACACAUUUAACAUGAAUGGAAUAAAAGGCCCAAUUAUAUAAAGAUUAAGUACAAAAAUAUGUCCCAUAGAAAAUAAAAUGCGUCAGCCUGAUAGG
rnacentral:lncRNA from 1 species